UACGGGGGGAGCAAGCGUUGUUCGGAUUUACUGGGCGUAAAGGGCGCGUAGGCGGCACCGCAAGUCAGUUGUGAAAUCUCUGGGCUUAACCCAGAAAGGUCAACUGAUACUGCGGGGCUAGAGUGCAGAAGGGGAAACUGGAAUUCUCGGUGUAGCGGUGAAAUGCGUAGAUAUCGGGAAGAACACCCGUGGCGAAGGCGGCUCUCUGGAACGCAACUGACGCUGAGACGCGAAAGCGUGGGGAGCAAACAGG
rnacentral:rRNA from 1 species